rnacentral:rRNA from 1 species
AACGCGAAGAACCUUACCCAGGCUUGACAUGCAGUAGACAGCGCCAGAAAUGGCGUCUCCCUUCGGGGCUGCUGCACAGGUGCUGCAUGGCUGUCGUCAGCUCGUGCCGUGAGGUGUUGGGUUAAGUCCCGCAACGAGCGCAACCCUCAUCCCUAGUUGCCAUCGGGUCAAGCCGGGCACUCUAGUGAAACCGCCCCGGAUAACGGGGAGGAAGGUGGGGAUGACGUCAAGUCCUCAUGGCCUUUAUGUCCAGGGCUACACACGUGCUACAAUGGUCGGUACAAACCGUCGCGAAACUGCAAAGUAGAGCUAAUCGGAAAAAGCCGGCCUCAGUUCGGAUUGGAGUCUGCAACUCGACUCCAUGAAGCUGGAAUCGCUAGUAAUCGCAGAUCAGAACGCUGCGGUGAAUACGUUCCCGGGCCUUGUACACACCGCGCAUA